rnacentral:rRNA from 1 species
AUUGAACGCUGGCGGCAGGCCUAACACAUGCAAGUCGAACGGUAGCACAGAGAGCUUGCUCUCGGGUGACGAGUGGCGGACGGGUGAGUAAUGUCUGGGAAACUGACCGAUGGAGGGGGAUAACUACUGGAAACGGUAGCUAAUACCCCAUAACGUCGCAAGACCAAAGUGGGGGACCUUCGGGCCUCACACCAUCGGAUGUGCCCAGAUGGGAUUAGCUAGUAGGUGGGGUAAUGGCUCACCUAGGCGACGAUCCCUAGCUGGUCUGAGAGGAGGAACAGCCACACUGGAACUGAGACACGGUCCAGACUCCUACGGGAGGCAGCAGUGGGGAAUAUUGCACAAUGGGCGCAAGCCCGAUGCAGCCAUGCCGCGUGUAUGAAGAAGGCCUUCGGGUUGUAAAGUACUUUCAGCGGGGAGGAAGGCGGUGAAGUUAAUAACUUCACCGAUUGACGUUACCCGCAGAAGAAGCACCGGCUAACUCCGUGCCAGCAGCCGCCGUAAUAC